UCAGGGGUCGUCCAACGGUAGGACACCGGUCUCUGGAACCGGCUAUCGGGGUUCGAAUCCCUGCCCCUGAG
rnacentral:tRNA from 1 species